rnacentral:rRNA from 1 species
UAACGACUCUCGGCAACGGAUAUCUCGGCUCUCGCAUCGAUGAAGAACGUAGCGAACUGCGAUACUUGGUGUGAAUUGCAGAAUCCCGUGAACCAUCGAGUCUUUGAACGCAAGUUGCGCCCGAAUCCACUUGGACGAGGGCACGUUUGCCUGGGUGUCA